GACGAACGCUGGCGGCGUGCUUAACACAUGCAAGUCGAACGAAAAGGCCCUGCUUUUGUGGGGUGCUCGAUUGGCGAACGGGUGAGUAACACGUGAGUAACCUGCCCUUGACUUUGUGAUAACUUCUGGAAACUGGGGCUAAUACCGGAUAGAAUCUCCUGCUGCAUGGGGGUGGUUGGAAAGUUUCGGCUGUUGGGGAUGGACUCGCGGCUUAUCAGCUUGUUUGUGGAGUAGUUGCUUACCAAGGCUUUGACGGGUAGCCUGCAUGAGAGGGUGACCGGGGACAAUGGGCCUGAGAUACGGAGCAGACUGCUACGGGCGGCAGCAGUCGGGAAUAUUGCAGAAUGGGCGGAAGCCUGAUGCAGCAACGCUGGGUGCGGGAUGCCGUGUUUCGGGUUGUAAACAGAUUUGGACGGUGACGAAGCGUGCGUGACGGUAAUGGGUAAAGAAGCACCGGCUAACUACGUG
rnacentral:rRNA from 1 species